UUUUGGUUCAGAGUCGAUGUUACAUCCUGUGCUUGUUUCUUUUAUUUCCUCGGUUUUAUUUUCUUGAAUUUUUACCGCCUGCCCUUUUUCGUGCUUUUUCUUUUGAAUCUUCGAGUAUUCGAUUUUUUUUUUCUUUCUUUUUCUCAAUUCAUCAAUUUUUCUUUUUCUUUUGUUUUUGCACUUUCUAGGGCUCUGGGGGCUUUUGGGGUUUUUACCCCAAACUUAGCUUUUCAACACAACUGGAAUAUAUUCUAAUGACUCUGAACAGGGUGAGGAAGUGUUUUGGCCAAUAGUUACAUUCAUGGUGUUUUAAACAAAAAAAUGGAUAUAGGCUCAAAGGGGGUUAACGAGGGAUAAAAUAAUUCGGGAUGGCUAGAAAGGC
rnacentral:lncRNA from 1 species